rnacentral:rRNA from 1 species
GAUGAACGCUGGCGGCGUGCCUAAUACAUGCAAGUCGAGCGAACAGACGAGGAGCUUGCUCCUCUGACGUUAGCGGCGGACGGGUGAGUAACACGUGGAUAACCUACCUAUAAGACUGGGAUAACUUCGGGAAACCGGAGCUAAUACCGGAUAAUAUAUUGAACCGCAUGGUUCAAUAGUGAAAGACGGUUUUGCUGUCACUUAUAGAUGGAUCCGCGCCGCAUUAGCUAGUUGGUAAGGUAACGACUUACCAAGGCAACGAUGCGUAGCCGACCUGAGAGGGUGAUCGGCCACACUGGAACUGAGACACGGUCCAGACUCCUACGGGAGGCAGCAGUAGGGAAUCUUCCGCAAAGGGCGAAAGCCUGACGGAGCAACGCCGCGUGAGUGAUGAAGGUCUUCGGAUCGUAAAACUCUGUUAUUAGGGAAGAACAAAUGUGUAAGUAACUAUGCACGUCUUGACGGUACCUAAUCAGAAAGCCACGGCUAACUACGUG